AUCCUUUCAGUUCAAAAUAAUGAUGAUUGGUUUGUUCACAGUUAUUGUGAUAUGUGCGACCUGCCUUCGUUAUUAUGCUUUGCGCAAAUACCAUCUGAAU